ACCAACAGGAGCAUGUGGUAGCCACGUCA
rnacentral:piRNA from 1 species